rnacentral:rRNA from 1 species
UACGGGGGGGACUAGUGUUAUUCGGAAUGACUGGGCGUAAAGGGUGUGUAGGCGGUUCUGUAAGUUGAAAGUGAAAUCUCAAAGCUUAACUUUGAAAGUGCUUUCAAUACUGCAAAACUUGAGUGUGGGAGAGGAUAGCGGAAUUUCUAGUGUAGAAAUAAAAUCCAUAGAUAUUAGAAGGAACACCGAAAGCGUAGGCAGCUAUCUAGACCAAUACUGACGCUGAAACACGAAAGCAUGGGGAGCAAACAGG